ensembl:lncRNA
GUAGAUGGGAGUCACAUCGGCAAGCCUUCAGUCUUUUGGGAUCUCUCCAGAUAACCAGCAGAGCUAGUAGAUGGCAGAGAGUGGCUUGGCAAUCAUCCCCGCCAGCUCCCUCAGCACCCUAGGAUGGAGCCCGUCCGGUCCCUCGGACUUGUGACAGUCCAGAUGGAGGUGGAGCUCUCUAACUGUCUCCACCUGAAUCAUCAGGGGUGUAUUCUGCAUACCAUCCCAGACUUCCAGAACAGGGCAUAAAGUACCCUGAGGAUAACUGAGCCAUGGAGCAAUGCUGGGUGUGCUCUGGGAGAGCAGAUAGAAGAGAGGACAAAACUGCUUCACGACAGCAUCUGGGAGAGCAGCAGCCCUGCAGGCGCCCAGUUUUGGAUUUAUUGACAACAUCUAACCAAACCCACUGGGAGAGUCUUCAGAGAGUAUCCACAUCCUUGCCAUCUGUCUUCGGCAGCACUGUGCCUCUGGGAAGCAAAGACUGGAUCUGCUUACUCUGUCCCGAACAACAACAGUAUCAGCUGAGAGGAUAAAGACAAGUUGCACACACUAAGAAGAUGUUAGCAUUUUAAUCUCACAGAUUAGUUUAGGCUCUUAAGAUCAUUUAAAAUGCAAUUGCACAGAGUACUGGCAGAACCGCUGAGGAGCAAUUGGUUCACCUGUACUUUUUUCUGUCUUAGGUUUAAGUGCCUAGCAUUGAAAUUGGUAGCUUGAAUACUUUUGAAUUCAGAAGCUAAGACAAUGUCACAGAUAAACUUUCUAUGCAAUAAAUGUCCGCUUCAUCAGUCUUCUUAGAAGUGAUAUGAUUAACUUCUGACAGCAUUUUGAGAACAUGUGCAGUUCUUUAUUUGGAUGUACGGUUGAAGCAGUGAUAAAUUCCUUUUCAAAAGCAAAUGAAGAACUAUAGGUAUGGUAGAUGCCAACUUCCUGCCUGGCAAUUGGCUUCUGAACAUUUGCGUUCUUGCCUUCCUGUGUGUUUCUUUAUUACUUCACUGAUCAGACGCAUUUGCAGCUUCCACUUCUGCUGUCUGACCUGCACCUGUUGUAUGCAAAUACCACUGAAAUGUCUUCAGAGCAGAAAGAACAAAAAACUGAAUAACUUUUAUGGAAAACUGGUAACUAAAUUGAUAUAUAUCAGCUCCUCAGUUGUACUUCAUUUGCAGCAUAACUUUAAUUUUGGCAUUCUCUAACCCCACUUAAACUGUGAAAGAAACUGCACAAUCUGCCUCACAACUGGUAUAAACCAUUUCUGGCUGACUUGGACUUUCUAAGUCUUAAAACAAUAAAGGUAAAACUAAGCACAAAAUAUUUGUUAACACAAAAUAGAUAAAUACUAAGAGAAGAAUCUGGAAGAAAUGAUGUUAUGACAAACCAGAAAAAGGAGCUAGAUUUAAUUGUUGAAGAUUCUCUUUUUUUAUAUUUCUAAUUAGCAUUUUUUAUAAAAUGUGUUUCCAAGACUGUUCUGAAAGUAUCCAGAAUGUUUGAUCUUGCUGAUGUGUCCUAUUAGGCCUGAUGUGUUCCAUGCAAUGGGACAUUUUUUUGACAGCAAGGAAAUCUUGCCACUGUGGAGUUUUACAAACCUCUCCUUAAAAUCAGUAGAUCCAGAGGUCAGUUUUAGAUCCACAAUUGUAGCUGGCAUUUUCUGACUAUUCCAAUAAGAGAGAAGUUUAUGAUAUAUAGUGAUGAGGCCUGAGAAUUUUAGGGAAAAGAGAUAUUAGACAGCAAAAAACAGUGAAAAUUAAAUAUUAUUUCAGAGGCCAGAUUUGGAGGAAGGACAGGGAACUAAUGACAUUCAGCAUGGAUACAGCUUUAUUUCAUAUGGGGCAGAGCCAUGUGAGAGUGUGAAAAUGGAAAUGAUGCAGUAGAUAUGAAACCUUUCUACACUUAUUGUUGGAGAACCUUGAAGUUUUGUGUCAUGUGUGUUUUACAGAUCAUCCCUGCCCCAUUGGUUCCUUCACUCACAGUCUGGAGAGAGGACAUAACCCAGUCCAUUGCCUUAACUACAGGGCUAAGUGAUGGCAAACAUGUUUGCCGGAAGAGGUGCUGUUUCAAAUGUUCAUAAUGGCAGACAUGCCAAAGAGUAACACCAGGGCUUGCCCAACAAAGUAAAUGAUGAACAUCUUACAGCCUUGGUGCUUACACCACAUCCAUGCAGGGAAGAAUAAACGCAAGACUUACUGGAAGUAAGUGGAAAAAUGCGGGUAAAAUAUCUAGACUUUUAAUUCUGGGUUAGUUACUGGAAAAGGAAGGAUUUAUUUGUUUCUUUCUUCUGCUCACAUUACCUCAUUGGAUUUGCACCUGACUGAACCCUUUCCAACUGAGCACGCCUCACUGUCUGCAGCUACACUUUACUCCUGCCACGCACUUUAAAAACAAUCUGUGUUUUUCCCAGCCUGGAGCUUUAAAAAACUGUCAUUGUUUUCAGGUGUUAUUUGCCUCAUGCUGUUCUCGGGCCGGCUCUGCAGUAUGUCACAAGACCAAGCUGCUGGGCUCCAUAC